UAUUUAAGUACAUAUGUUUCUUUCAUUAAACAAGAGGUUACCAUGUAAUUGUACGGUCUGUCAUGAAAUAAAGUGUAAGAAAGUACAUAUGUUUCUUUCAUUAAACAAGAGGUUACCAUGUAAUUGUGCGGUCUGUCAUGAAAUAAAGUGUAAGAAAGUACAUAUGUUUCUUUCAUUAAACAAGAGGUUACCAUGUAAUUGUGCAGUCUGUCAUGAAAUAAAGUGUAAGAAAGUACAUAUGUUUCUUUCAUUAAACAAGAGGUUACCAUGUAAUUGUACGGUCUGUCAUGAAAUAAAGUGUAGAAAAGUA